AUUGAACGCUGGCGGCAUGCCUAACACAUGCAAGUCGAACGGUAACAGGCCUUCGGGCGCUGACGAGUGGCGGACGGGUGAGUAACGCGUGGGAAUCUGCCUAGUAGUGGGGGACAACCUGGGGAAACUCGUGCUAAUACUGUAUAUUACUCUACGGAGGAAAGUAAGGGACCUUAUGGCCUUACGCUGAUGGAUGAGCCUGCGUCGGAUUAGCUAGUUGGUGGGGUAAAGGCCUACCAAGGCGACGAUCCGUAGCUGUUCUGAGAGGAUGACCAGCCACACUGGAACUGAGACACGGUCCAGACUCCUACGGGAGGCAGCAGUGGGGAAUAUUGCACAAUGGGCGCAAGCCUGAUGCAGCCAUGCCGCGUGUGUGAAGAAGGCCUUAGGGUUGUAAAGCACUUUCAGCAGUGAGGAAAGGGGUGUCGUUAAUAGCGCCAUCCUGUGACGUUAACUGCAGAAGAAGGACCGGCUAACUCCGUG
rnacentral:rRNA from 1 species